UAAAGUGCUGACAGGGCAGGUAGUGAGACUUAGAUACCAGCCGCACUGUGGGGGCUUACAGC
rnacentral:pre_miRNA from 1 species